GAGGCCGCCUGCGGUGGAGGGUGUGGGGGCGGCCGUGAGGCGAGCGCGUCCUGUCGGGCUGCCGCCUGCCCGCUGAGGCCGUCGCCGCGUGGAGGCGGCGGGGCGGGGCUCGGCCCCGCCGGGCAGGGUCUGCGCGGCGCCGCGUGUGCCGCAGCGCGGGUCUGCCUUUGCCUUCGACGUGUGGCGCCUUUAGGGCCCCGGCGCGGGCCGGAGCGUGCGCUCGCCCCUGCGGACGCAGCCCGGAGGAGCGGGGCCGCGGGCGGGCCCCGGAGCGGGGUUGCGGCGCGGCGUCGGCGGGAGGUCGGCUCCUGUUGCGGCAGGCGUGGCCCGGAGCGCCGGUGAGUCACGGGAAGCUUGAACCGUCUGGAGCAAGCCGGCUGAAGGAGAUCGCGAGUCAGGGUAGUCCCCCGAGAGGGGACAUCUCGAAGAGAAGCGGCUGGACCUAGCGAUCCAGCUGUUCGCGUUGGUCGUCACCCGUGAGGCAAGGAGCUGAGCGUAAGAGGACUCUGGGAGCUGAAUCGAAAAGAGCUGGAACCAACGCUAGCAAAUGCUGACAGAGAGGAAAGCUGGACAAGCAGUCUUUUUGUGAUUAGUACCUAAGGGACGAAGGGAGUGCAACGAGGAAGCAAAAACGCAGCGGACCCCUGACAUCCCCAGCGACUGCUGCAGAAGGAGGUGUUCCGCCACGGGCGAGAAAGGUGACCGCUGACGAAUUGCCGCGGCUGAAGUUGAAGAGACCAGAAAAGCGUAAGCAAGCUGAAGUGAGAAAAACCACGUGGAACCAGCCGAGAGCCGUCUCCGUCUCCCGCCCCCCGCCCGGAAGGAAAGCCCGUCCUUCCUGACUAGGAAGGCUCACCGUUAAUAGCGAUCGGAACGAUAGAUCGCCGACGUAUAACGGAAGGCGCGCCCGCCUUACAACAAGCACGCUACGGUGAUGGAUUUUACUAUGCCUCCAUCGACGAGUGCUGGCAGACAAAGUUAUAACGUCCCAAGGCAGACUCUUAGGCAAGACGGAGGAGUUCAGCUGGACAGCCUGCUAGAAGAGUCUCGCCCAAGAGGGGUUGCUAGCCCCCUCUUGAGCUCUAGGCGCUGAUGCAUCUGCAUCGUCCCGUCAGGCACACAGACGUUUUCUUUGCUCGCAGACGUUUCAGCACGUCUUUACGCCUUACAGCGGUAGCGUUUAUAAACUGCGUUAAUCCUAGGCGUUCGUAACGUCGGGGAACGACUGCACGCUGCCGUGAAGAAUUACAGGCUACCGCCCUCGGACCUCUGCAAGUUAUCGCGUGUCAGGAGCAGCCAGGAGGAUCCAGGUGCCAGCGGAAAGGUUCUCCUGCCGGUCCCGACAAGGAGCCUUCGGCCGUAGGAAGGCUGGCCGCGUCCUUACCUAUAUUCCACACGUACGGAGAGCACAAUGUAAUGUCUGGCCGUCGAAAGAGCGUUGUCGUCGCUGGGAGCUCUCCGCAGAGAUCUGCGUCUGGCCGCCGAAGAUGAGCGGAAGGCGAGCCCAGGCUUGCGACGUGGAUGCAGCUGAGUCCUGGGGCUGCGUUGCGUAGCUGAAUCCUAUCCCCGAAGGAAAAAGCAGAAGGGGCAGGCCGUCGGCUACGCAGACGCCUGCCGCCUCGGGGGCUGCGGCGGGAGCUGACCCUUCCCCGACGGACGGACGGUCGGACGGACGGACGGACGGACGGACGCUGGCGUGGCGAUGACUCUUCAGGUGUCACGGGGUAAGGGGAAGCGUGCCGGCACCGAGCUCCGUGGCAGGCUCGCUCCCGGGUGGCGUUCCUGCCCAGUAAAAGAAUAAAGAGCCGCUUUAUUCUUUGCGGUCGUGUCUGUGGUUCCGGACGCCCCCCUGCCUGAAGAUGACGCCCGGGGGAGGAGGUUACACGUUGUGCGCCCGGGGCCGGGAGCUGGUGGCCGAGCCCCUUGCGCUUUGGAGUGCCUGCGGUUCCCAGGGGACGCGGUGCUGUUCCCGGGGCUGUGGGGAGUUGCCCUGGCGUGGCCUGGACCCUCGGGACUCUUGGGGGUGGUUCCCAUCGUCGUGGGGGCAGCCGGGGCCCCCCCCCCUCCAGGGCCGUGUGAGGGCACCGGCCUGCUCCCUGGCCUGUCUGGGGCCGGGGCCCGCGUGCCUGGAGCUGGGAGAGCUGCGGGCGUCCGCGGGGCCGCGGAGAGCCUGCAGGCGCCGGUGCCGUCACAGAAUCACAGAACGGGUAAGGUUGGAAGGGACCUCUGGGGAUCGCCUAGUCCAACCUCCCUGCUCGAGCACGGUCACCUAGAGCGCGUUAGACGGGAUCGCACCCAGGCGGGUUUUGAAUAUCUCCGGAGAAGGAGACUCCGCCACCUCUCUGGGCAGCCCGUUCCAGUGCUCCGUCACUCUCACGGGAAAGAAAUCCUUCCUCGUAUUCGGGCGCGACUUCCUGUGGUUCGGCUUGUGCCCGUUGCCUCUAGUCCUUUCGCGUGGGACAACUGGAAAGAGUUUAGCCCCAUCCCCUUGCCACCCUGCCUUCAGAUACCGAUAGAUUUUGAUAAGAUCCCCCCUCAGUCUUCCCCAGGCUAAGAGCCUCUUGUCGAGGGUAAGUGAGCCGCGCUGAGCCCUGCGACGUGCCUUACGGCCCCUUUGGUGUGCCCCGAGGCCCUUUGUCCGUGUGUUGGUUUGCCCCGGAGCCCUGCGUUUGCCCUCUGAUGCCCUCAGGAGCCUUCAGUUCACAUUUUGGCUGGCCCCCACGGCCGCCGUGCGCCUCGGAGCCCUGCACUUGCUCUGCAGCGCGCGACGAAGUUCUCUGUUUUGUCGCAGAGCUUUCUGGGUGUGCCCCAGGGCCCUCCUUUUGCCUUUUGGUGCUCCCAGAAUCACCCUGUUUGCUCCAUCUUUGCGUUGUAAUAUACGUACGUACAUAUAUAAAAUGUAUCUACAUAUUUAAGACA